rnacentral:rRNA from 1 species
CAGGAUGAACGCUGGCGGCGUGCCUAAUACAUGCAAGUCGAACGCUUCACUUCGGUGAAGAGUGGCGAACGGGUGAGUAAUACAUAAGUAACCUGGCAUCUACAGGGGGAUAACUGAUGGAAACGUCAGCUAAGACCGCAUAGGUGUAGAGAUCGCAUGAACUCUAUAUGAAAAGUGCUACGGGACUGGUAGAUGAUGGACUUAUGGCGCAUUAGCUUGUUGGUAGGGUAACGGCCUACCAAGGCGACGAUGCGUAGCCGACCUGAGAGGGUGACCGGCCACACUGGGACUGAGACACGGCCCAGACUCCUACGGGAGGCAGCAGUAGGGAAUUUUCGGCAAUGGGGGAAACCCUGACCGAGCAACGCCGCGUGAAGGAAGAAGUAAUUCGUUAUGUAAACUUCUGUCAUAGAGGAAGAACGGUGGAUAUAGGGAAUGAUAUCCAAGUGACGGUACUCUAUAAGAAAGCCACGGCUAACUACGUGCCAGCAGCCGCGGUAAUACGUAGGUGGCGAGCGUUAUCCGGAAUUAUUGGGCGUAAAGAGGGAGCAGGCGGCACUAAGGGUCUGUGGUGAAAGAUCGAAGCUUAACUUCGGUAAGCCAUGGAAACCGUAGAGCUAGAGUGUGUGAGAGGAUCGUGGAAUUCCAUGUGUAGCGGUGAAAUGCGUAGAUAUAUGGAGGAACACCAGUGGCGAAGGCGACGAUCUGGCGCAUAACUGACGCUCAGUCCCGAAAGCGUGGGGAGCAAAUAGGAUUAGAUACCCUAGUAGUCCACGCCGUAAACGAUGAGUACUAAGUGUUGGGGGUCAAAGCUCAGUGCUGCAGUUAACGCAAUAAGUACUCCGCCUGAGUAGUACGUUCGCAAGAAUGAAACUCAAAGGAAUUGACGGGGG